rnacentral:rRNA from 1 species
CCAAGUUUUUAAGGGCGCACGGUGGAUGCCUUGGCACCAGGAACCGAUGAAGGACGUGGGAGGCCACGAUAGGCCCCGGGGAGCUGUCAACCGAGCUUUGAUCCGGGGGUGUCCGAAUGGGGAAACCCGGCAGUCGUCAUGGGCUGUCACCCGCUGCUGAACACAUAGGCAGUGUGGAGGGAACGCGGGGAAGUGAAACAUCUCAGUACCCGCAGGAAGAGAAAACAACCGUGAUUCCGGGAGUAGUGGCGAGCGAAACCGGAUGAGGCCAAACCGUAUGUGUGUGAUACCCGGCAGGGGUUGCGCAUGCGGGGUUGUGGGAUCUCUUUUUCAUAGUCUGCCGGCUGUGAGACGAGUCAGAAACCGUUGAUGUAGGCGAAGGACAUGCGAAAGGUCCGGCGUAGAGGGUAAGACCCCCGUAGCUGAAACAUUGCGGCUCUUUAAGAGACACCCAAGUAGCACGGGGCCCGAGAAAUCCCGUGUGAAUCUGGCGGGACCACCCGCUAAGCCUAAAUAUUCCCUGGUGACCGAUAGCGGAUAGUACCGUGAGGGAAUGGUGAAAAGUACCGCGGGAGCGGAGUGAAAUAGUACCUGAAACCGUGUGCCUACAAGCCGUGGGAGCGUCGCGCAUCGAGCUUGCUCGGUGCGUCGUGACUGCGUGCCUUUUGAAGAAUGAGCCUGCGAGUUUGCGGUAUGUUGCGAGGUUAACCCGUGUGGGGAAGCCGUAGCGAAAGCGAGUCCGAAUAGGGCGUUUGAGUAGCGUGCCCAAGACCCGAAGCGGAGUGAUCUAGCCAUGGGCAGGUUGAAGCGGAGGUAAGACUUCGUGGAGGACCGAACCCACCAGGGUUGAAAACCUGGGGGAUGACCUGUGGUUAGGGGUGAAAGGCCAAUCAAACUCCGUGAUAGCUGGUUCUCCCCGAAAUGCAUUUAGGUGCAGCGUCGUGUGUUUCUUGCCGGAGGUAGAGCACUGGAUAGGCGAUGGGCCCUACCGGGUUACUGACCUUAGCCAAACUCCGAAUGCCGGUAAGUGAGAGCGCGGCAGUGAGACUGUGGGGGAUAAGCUCCAUGGUCGAGAGGGAAACAGCCCAGAGCAUCGACUAAGGCCCCUAAGCGUACGCUAAGUGGGAAAGGAUGUGGAGUCGCAGAGACAACCAGGAGGUUGGCUUAGAAGCAGCCACCCUUGAAAGAGUGCGUAAUAGCUCACUGGUCAAGUGAUUCCGCGCCGACAAUGUAGCGGGGCUCAAGCGUACCGCCGAAGUCGUGUCAUUGCAGUAUGUACCCCCAACGGGGACUGUGAUGGGUAGGGGAGCGUCGUGUGCCGGGUGAAGCAGCCGCGGAAGCGAGUUGUGGACGGUUCACGAGUGAGAAUGCAGGCAUGAGUAGCGAUACACACGUGAGAAACGUGUGCGCCGAUUGACUAAGGGUUCCUGGGUCAAGCUGAUCUGCCCAGGGUAAGUCGGGACCUAAGGCGAGGCCGACAGGCGUAGUCGAUGGACAACCGGUUGAUAUUCCGGUACCCGCUUUGAAACGCCCAAUAUCGAAUCAGGCGAUGCUAAGUCCGUGAAGCCGCCCUGGAGUCUUCGGACAAAGGGGAGUGGUGGAGCCGACGAACCAGACUUGUAGUAGGUAAGCGAUGGGGUGACGCAGGAAGGUAGUCCAGCCCGGGCGGUGGUAGUCCCGGGGUAAGGGUGUAGGGCGUUGUGUAGGCAAAUCCGCACAACAUGCAGCCUGAGACCUGAUGCCGAGCCGAUUGUGGUGAAGUGGAUGAUCCUAUGCUGUCGAGAAAAGCCUCUAGCGAGUUUCAUGGCGGCCCGUACCCUAAACCGACUCAGGUGGUCAGGUAGAGAAUACCGAGGCGUUCGGGUGAACUAUGGUUAAGGAACUCGGCAAAAUGCCCCCGUAACUUCGGGAGAAGGGGGGCCAUGUCUGGUGAGGGAACUUGCUUCCUGAGCUGGGUGUGGCCGCAGAGACCAGCGAGAAGCGACUGUUUACUAAAAACACAGGUCCGUGCGAAGCCGUAAGGCGAUGUAUACGGACUGACGCCUGCCCGGUGCUGGAACGUUAAGGGGACCGGUUAGCUCCAUUUCGGUGGGGCGAAGCUGAGAACUUAAGCGCCAGUAAACGGCGGUGGUAACUAUAACCAUCCUAAGGUAGCGAAAUUCCUUGUCGGGUAAGUUCCGACCUGCACGAAUGGCGUAACGACUUCAUUCCGGAUGUCUCAGAGGCGGCCGGACCUUUACUCUAGUGCAAUUUACCGGGCCUAUGGUUGAGACAGUCGAGAAGUCGUUACGCAUUCGUGCAGGUCGGAACUUACCCGACAAGGAAUUUCGCUACCUUAGGAUGGUUAUAGUUACCACCGCCGUUUACUGGCGCUUAAGUUCUCAGCUUCGCCCCACCGAAAUGGAGCUAACCGGUCCCCUUAACGUUCCAGCACCGGGCAGGCGUCAGUCCGUAUACAUCGCCUUACGGCUUCGCACGGACCUGUGUUUUUAGUAAACAGUCGCUUCUCGCUGGUCUCUGCGGCCACACCCAGCUCAGGAAGCAAGUUCCCUCACCAGACAUGGCCCCCCUUCUCCCGAAGUUACGGGGGCAUUUUGCCGAGUUCCUUAACCAUAGUUCACCCGAACGCCUCGGUAUUCUCUACCUGACCACCUGAGUCGGUUUAGGGUACGGGCCGCCAUGAAACUCGCUAGAGGCUUUUCUCGACAGCAUAGGAUCAUCCACUUCACCACAAUCGGCUCGGCAUCAGGUCUCAGGCUGCAUGUUGUGCGGAUUUGCCUACACAACGCCCUACACCCUUACCCCGGGACUACCACCGCCCGGGCUGGACUACCUUCCUGCGUCACCCCAUCGCUUACCUACUACAAGUCUGGUUCGUCGGCUCCACCAC